GAUGAACGCUGGCGGCGUGCCUAAUACAUGCAAGUCGAGCGAAUGGAUUAAGAGCUUGCUCUUAUGAAGUUAGCGGCGGACGGGUGAGUAACACGUGGGUAACCUGCCCAUAAGACUGGGAUAACUCCGGGAAACCGGGGCUAAUACCGGAUAACAUUUUGAACCGCAUGGUUCGAAAUUGAAAGGCGGCUUCGGCUGUCACUUAUGGAUGGACCCGCGUCGCAUUAGCUAGUUGGUGAGGUAACGGCUAACCAAGGCAACGAUGCGUAGCCGACCUGAGAGGGUGAUCGGCCACACUGGGACUGAGACACGGCCCAGACUCCUACGGGAGGCAGCAGUAGGGAAUCUUCCGCAAUGGACGAAAGUCUGAAGGAGCAACGCCGCGUGAGUGAUGAAGGCUUUCGGGUCGUAAAACUCUGUUGUUAGGGAAGAACAAGUGCUAGUUGAAUAAGCUGGCACCUUGACGGUACCUAACCAGAAAGCCACGGCUAACUACGUGCCAGCCGCCGCGGUAA
rnacentral:rRNA from 1 species